GAUGAACGCUGGCGGCGUGCUUAACACAUGCAAGUCGAACGAGAAAUGGAGACGGAAACCUUCGGGCGGAAGGCUUCAUUUCGAGUGGCGGACGGGUGAGUAACGCGUGGGUAACCUGCCUCAUACAGGGGGAUAACAGUUGGAAACGACUGUUAAUACCGCAUAAGACCACAGCACCGCAUGGUGCGGGGGUAAAAACUCCGGUGGUAUGAGAUGGACCCGCGUUCGAUUAGCCAGUUGGCGGGGUAACGGCCCACCAAAGCGACGAUCGAUAGCCGAUCUGAGAGGAUGACCGGCCACAUUGGGACUGAGGCACGGCCCAAACUCCUACGGGAGGCAGCAGUGGGGAAUAUUGCACAAUGGGGGAAACCCUGAUGCAGCGACGCCGCGUGAGUGAAGAAGUACUUCGGUAUGUAAAGCUCUAUCAGCAGGGAAGAAAAUGACGGUACCUGAGUAAGAAGCCCCGGCUAACUACGUG
rnacentral:rRNA from 1 species